AGGACGAACGCUGGCGGCGUGCCUAACACAUGCAAGUCGAGCGAGAUCCAUCCAGUGGCAACACUGGUGAAGAUCUAGCGGCGAACGGGUGAGUAACACGUGAGAAAUCUGCCCCGAAGACCGGGAUAACCCGAGGAAACUCGGGCUAAUACCGGAUACCCCCAUCGAGCCACAUGGUUUGAUGAGGAAAUGCUCCGACGCUUCGGGAGGAUCUCGCGGCCUAUCAGCUAGUUGGUGAGGUAACGGCCCACCAAGGCUACGACGGGUAGCUGGUCUGAGAGGACGAUCAGCCACACUGGGACUGAGACACGGCCCAGACUCCGUACGGGAGGCAGCAGGUGGGGAAUCUUGCGCAAUGGGCGAAAGCCUGACGCAGCAACGCCGCGUGGGAUGAAGCUCGUCGGUUCGUAACCCUUUCGAGGAGGAACGAAAGUGACGGUACCUCCAGAAGAACGCCCCGACCGAACUACGUGCCAGCACGCCGGAC
rnacentral:rRNA from 1 species